GACGAAGGGGGCAAGCGUUGUUCGGAAUUACUGGGCGUAAAGGGCGCGUAGGCGGCGCAUUAAGUCAGGCGUGAAAGCCCUGGGCUCAACCUGGGAAUGGCGCUUGAUACUGGUGUGCUAGAGAGCGGGAGAGGAUGGUGGAAUUCCCAGUGUAGAGGUGAAAUUCGUAGAUAUUGGGAAGAACACCGGUGGCGAAGGCGGCCAUCUGGACCGUAUCUGACGCUGAGGCGCGAAAGCGUGGGGAGCAAACAGGAUUAGAAACCCCAGUAGUCC
rnacentral:rRNA from 1 species